rnacentral:pre_miRNA from 12 species
GAGGACAUGCUAUCCACAAUGUGUUUGAUAAGCUGAUAUAGGACAGGGAUUUUUUUCACUGUUGUGUCAGUUUAUCAAACCCAUAUCUGGAUGAU